rnacentral:rRNA from 1 species
GAACUAUAGAGUUUGAUCCUGGCUCAGAUUGAACGCUGGCGGAAUGCUUUACACAUGCAAGUCGAACGGUAGAGGGGGCAACCCCUUGAGAGUGGCGAACGGGUGAGUAAUAUAUCGGAACGUGCCCAGUCGUGGGGGAUAACGUAGUGAAAAUUACGCUAAUACCGCAUACGAUCUAAGGAUGAAAGCGGGGGAUCGCAAGACCUCGCGCGACUGGAGCGGCCGAUAUCAGAUUAGGUAGUUGGUAGGGUAAAGGCCUACCAAGCCAACGAUCUGUAGCUGGUCUGAGAGGACGACCAGCCACACUGGAACUGAGACACGGUCCAGACUCCUACGGGAGGCAGCAGUGGGGAAUUUUGGACAAUGGGCGAAAGCCUGAUCCAGCCAUUCCGCGUGCAGGAUGAAGGCCCUCGGGUUGUAAACUGCUUUUGUACAGAACGAAAAGGUUUCUAUUAAUACUAGGAGCUCAUGACGGUACUGUAAGAAUAAGCACCGGCUAACUACGUGCCAGCAGCCGCGGUAAUACGUAGGGUGCAAGCGUUAAUCGGAAUUACUGGGCGUAAAGCGUGCGCAGGCGGUUAUAUAAGUCAGAUGUGAAAUCCCCGGGCUCAACCUGGGAACUGCAUUUGAGACUGUAUAGCUAGAGUACGGUAGAGGGGGAUGGAAUUCCGCGUGUAGCAGUGAAAUGCGUAGAUAUGCGGAGGAACACCGAUGGCGAAGGCAAUCCCCUGGACCUGUACUGACGCUCAUGCACGAAAGCGUGGGGAGCAAACAGGAUU